UACGUAGGGGGCAAGCGUUGUCCGGAAUUAUUGGGCGUAAAGAGCGCGUAGGCGGUCCGAUAAGUCGGCUGUGAAAGUCAGGGGCUCAACCCUUGGAAGCCGGCCGAUACUGUCGGACUAGAGUCCGGAAGAGGCGAGUGGAAUUCCUGGUGUAGCGGUGAAAUGCGCAGAUAUCAGGAGGAACACCCGUGGCGAAAGCGGCUCUCUGGGACGGUACUGACGCUGAGACGCGAAAGCGUGGGGAGCAAACAGG
rnacentral:rRNA from 1 species